GCCGAGGUCAACUCGGAGGAAGGUGAGGACGACGUCAAGUCAUCAUGCCCCUUAUGUCCAGGGCUUCACGCAUGCUACAAUGGUCGGUACAGUCAGUUGCGAGCCUGUAAGGGUUAGCGAAUCUGUAAAAGCCGGCCUCAGUUCGGAUUGGGGUCUGCAACUCGACCCCAUGAAGUCGGAGUCGCUAGUAAUCGCAGAUCAGCAACGCUGCGGUGAAUACGUUCCCGGGGCUUGUACACACCGCCCGUCAAGUCAUGAAAUUUGGCAACACCCGAAGCCAGUGGCCUAACCCUUGUGGGGGGAGCUGUCGAAGGUGGGGCUGAUAAUUAGGACUAAGUCGUAACAAGGUAGCCGUACCGGAAGGUGCGGCUGGAUCACCUCCUUU
rnacentral:ncRNA from 1 species